rnacentral:tRNA from 3 species
GCGGUUGUGGCGGAACUGGCAGACGCGCUGUCUUCAGGCGGCAGUGGAGCAAUCCGUGAGAGUUCGAGUCUCUCCAACCGCACCA